AACAUGGAUGCGGCGCGGCGGGCGCCCAGCCGCAGGGCAGGGCCGGGCCCGGCGGAGCGGGACUGGGCUGCGCUGGGCGUCCCCGCGGGGCAGGCGCCUCGCCCUGGUCGGCCGCCGCCCCCACCCGACCCGCGACCCGCGACCCGCCGCCCGCAGCCCCGCACAAAAGACCGGGGCCGCCGGAGGCCGCCGCAGCGUCAGCUCCCCCUUCCUCCCCGCCCCGUCGCGUCACCGCGCCGCCCCCCGCCCGCCCGCGGGAGGGAGGGGAGGGACCGGCCGAGGCGGGGAGGGGCGGCGGGGCCUAGCCGGAGAGUCCGGUACCGGGAGGGAGGAAGGGACCGAAGGGAGGCGGGAGAGCAGGAGGGAGGCCCAGCGCCUCGAUCUCUGGGGACCCCCUCUUGGGCCCAGCCUAAGUUAAAAUCCAGCCUUCCUGGCCCUUAUCUGUGCUGUGACGUCGGGCAAGUCCUGCAAAUCCCACUAACUCUGUGGUCAGAGCUCUCCCACCUGACAGUGGGGGUCAGGGGCAGCCCUGUUACAGAAAAGGAAGCCGGGCCUCAAAGCUGGGAAGUAACUCACCACUGAGGUCACGUUGCUGGACGUCAAAUGGACGCAACCCUCCUUUGAUGCCAUGAGCUGCGCCUGUCUGGCAGUGGCCGCCUGAGUCUGCAGUGUCCUGGACUCCUUGUGCCUAUGCUUCAAGAUUUCCUGGCUGCAUCUGUUUCCAACGAACUGUGACUUCUGGUUUCUUCUCUGAGUGUAUCUGUAUGGACCUGGCAUCACGCCAAACUAGCAGCAACUUAGAAGCAUGCAUGCCGUCUCCACUUCCGACGUAACUACAGGGGACUCGGAAAGCCCAGACCUGAGGGGCAGGGCUGCGGAUGUGACGAAAGCCAAGUGGGUCUAGGGGGAGAUCAAGGAACCAGCAUCUCAGGCUGAGCCCACAAAGCACCAGAGGCUCCUCCUGACGGGCAAAGGGCAGUCGCUUGACUGGAAUAGGAAGCGUGGGAUGUACCGUCUGGAAGCUGGAACUUUCCUGGAGCUGGCUGGCACUGAAGUCGGGGAUAGGAAGCCGCCUGUAAGGAGCUUUUGGGGUGUAUUGUGAGGGCUUUCCUGCUGCCACUCCUGGCUGCUGGGGCAAAGGCAGCUUGAACAGCUCCAACAUGCGUGCAGCUCUCUGCGUGAGGAACUGCACGGGAACCCAGGGAGAUUUCCUGGUAGCAGAAACAAAAGCCUCCCCACACUGUCCGCAACACGCACUCGCACGCACACGCACAGGCACUCGCACACGCACACACCCCUCUUCCGUCGGUGGGCAUGAAGAGCUCCUCUCACUCAUGGGUCAGAGGUAACUAGAAGAGGAGCACAUGCUGACGAAUUUAGAAUAUAUGUACGUGUGUAUAUGAAUUUAGAAUACACACACACACACACACACACACACACAAACUUAUUUCCAAAAUAGAAAGAGACUCACAGACAAAGAAAACAAACUUACCAAAGGCAAAAGGGAGGAACAAAUUAGGAGAUUGGUUUUAACACACACACACACUAUUAUAUAUAAAAUAGAUAACCAGGGAGUUCCUGUUGUGGCUCAAUGGUUUAAGCACCCAGCGUACUCUCUGUGAGAUGCAAGUUCAAUCCCUGACUUCACUCAGUGGGUUAAGGAUCCAGCAUUGCCGCCAGCUGUGGCGUAGGUUGCAGAGGCAACUCAGAUCCCUUGUUGCUGUAACUGUGGCAUGGGCUGGCAGCUUCAGCUUUGAUUCAACCCCUAGCCUGGGAACUUCCAUAUGCCACAGGUGUGGCCCUAAAAAGGAAAAAAUAAAAAUAAAAAAAUAAAAUAAAGUGGAUAACCAACAAGGACCUACUGUAUAGUACAGGGUACUGUACUCAAUAUUUUGUAAUAAUCUAUAAGGGAAAAGAUUCUGAAAAAAAAUAUAUAUAUUCUUUUUACAUAUAUAGAAAAUGUUUUCUAUAUAUUUUCACUGUGCUGUACUCCUGAAACUAACACAACAUUAUAUAUCAACUUAAAUUCAAUUUUUAAAAAAAUUGUAAUUAAAAAAGAGAAAUCUUAGGAGUUCCCUGGUGGCUCAGCAGGUUAAGGAUUCUGCAUUGUUGUGGCUGUGGCUCGGGUUGCUGCUUUGGCAUGGGUUCGAUCCCUGGCCCUGGAAGUUCUGCAUGCCUCAGAGGCAGCCAAAAAAGAGAGAGAGAGAAAUGUUGCAAGAAAAACCCCACAACUGAAAAGUAGGAGGGGCUGGCAGAGCAUGAAGCACAGUUGUUAAAAUAUGAUAAUAGUACAGCAGAACAUCAGUUCUAAAAGUUUCCAGAAAGGGAAAAAAAAAAAAAAA